rnacentral:rRNA from 1 species
UACAAACGCUGGCGGCGUGCCUAAUACAUGCAAGUCGAACGGGUAGCAAUACCAGUGGCGCACGGGUGAGGAAUACAUAGAUAAUCUGCCCUCGAGUCGGGGAUAACCAGUCGAAAGAUUGGCUAAUACCGGAUAAGACCACAGGAGCUGAGGCUCUAGGGGUUAAAGGUUUUUCGCUUGAAGAUGAGUCUAUGCGAGAUUAGCUAGUUGGUGAGGUAAUGGCUCACCAAGGCGACGAUCUCUAACUGGUCUUAGAGGAUGAUCAGUCACACUGGAACUGAGACACGGUCCAGACUCCUACGGGAGGCAGCAGUAGGGAAUAUUGCGCAAUGGGGGAAACCCUGACGCAGCGACGCCGCGUGAGUGAUGAAGGCCUUCGGGUCGUAAAGCUCUGUCGUAUGGGAAUAACACAAUGAAUGUACCAUGCAAGAAAGGAUCGGCUAACUUCGUGCCAGCAGCCGCGGUAA